UGCGCAGGCGGCGCGUUAAGACAGGUGUGAAAGCCCCGAGCUUAACUUGGGAAUUGCGCUUGUGACUGGCGUGCUGGAGUGUGGCAGAGGGAGGUGGAAUUCCACGUGUAGCAGUGAAAUGCGUAGAGAUGUGGAGGAACACCGAUGGCGAAGGCAGCCUCCUGGGCCAGCACUGACGCUCAUGCACGAAAGCGUAGGGAGCAAACA
rnacentral:rRNA from 1 species